ensembl:lncRNA
UUUCACUUUGUACUUUCUCUCCAAAAUCUUGACUUGAACAUCUGUCCUCGGCCAGUCAAAGAGCCGCCUCCACUGGACCAUUUGCUUCUGCAAGAUUUUCUGGUCGUGGGCAGUGAGAACGAUAGAAGGCACUUUGCCGCACAGGCAGAGUGGCAGGUUCCUCAAAAGUUGGACUCAACUAGAAAUCUCUUGUUGGAACUGACCUCCCACACCUCCAAGGACUUGGAGAGGAGACCAAGGGGAAGAAAUUUGACUCCGUGCCUAGUAUCUAGUGGUCUAGAGUACAUACAUUAAGUCACUGCAACAAAUAUUUCAAGAGAAAAAGUCUGUCAUCUGCCUUGAUGGUAAGACUUUUAUCAAGAGAAAAUAUCUACAUUUUCACUGUUUACUGAAAAGUAGGAAUACUCUACUGUGCAUUAUAUUCUGUUGUACUCUGUUGUUUUAUUUUACAGCAAUUAGAGAAGACAUGGAGUAGAUCUAUGAUGAAUAGAUUUUUUAAGUUUCAAAGCCAUUAUUUUGGAUGUUAUUCUCCAGUGAAACAACGAUGGAAUUAAUUUUGGGAUGUCAUUGACAUAUGAGGUCUUAAGGGAAGGAAAUCAUAUCAGUUAGAAUACAAUUGAGCUGUAUCAGAAAAUCCAAAAUAACAGUUUAAACAACAGAGAAGUUGAUUUGUCUCACACAUAAACAUAGGCAAGCCAGAGUUAAUAUGGCGAAUAGCUCCUUGAUUAUCAGGCACUUGGGCUUCUUCUAGUUGUUUGACCAACAUCAAGAAAUGACUUUCACCUUGUAGUCCAAGGUGGCAGCAUUCUAACCAGCAGCAAGCCCCCUCCAUUCCAGCCCCCUCUCUUUAAGGAGACUCCACAGAAACCAGAACCUAGUGUCAUAGCCAUAUGCAGCUGCAAGGAGGACUGGGUAAUGUAGUCUUUACUCUGGAUGGCCUUAGGCCCAGCUAAAAUUCAGGCUUCUAAAGAAGAGAAUGGGUAUUAAGGGGUGACCAACAGUCUCUCUCAUAGGAACUUGAAUUGGUGAACACUAUCCAGAACCAAUGAAUCUUUUAUGUGUUGGCACCAUAAUCAUUGUCAUUGGUUCUGGAUAGUGUUCACUGUUCCCUUUGCUGCUUUUAUGGGUUUUAAGCACUAUAUGCAGUGGCAGGACUCUGUUUUGGAACCCCUCAGCAUAUUGCUACUACUUGCCCACUCUUAGUUGUGGCUGCUGGUAUGUGACUUUCUGCUUAGAUUGGGGAGGUGUGAGCAAAGAAGGUGGGUGAGUCUGAGAGACAAGAGAUGUCAGGAGCCUGCCUGGGGAAGAUCUUCUUCUGGACUGUGGGGAAUACCACUUGUACCAUGUGGCAGCAAUCCCUUCAUGAGAUUGGUCCUAGGGUGUCAAGCAGGCCUCAUGAGUGGGUCUUCUGGAGGAGUACUUCAUUGUUUUCCUUGAAAGAUGGGAUGAGAAAUACGACAGAACAUAUUAGAGGAAUAGUGGAAGCCCUGGGUUCUUCCUGGGUCUUUCACCAUGUAAAGCAGGCUUGGAGGGCAACUGCAGAAGCUGGAAUCUACCUUGCUACAGCCUUGGCAGGUAAAGGCUGCAGCAAAAAUGUGCAGCCCAGGUUGCCCUGAGGGGCAGAAUCAAAACUAUAAGCAGACUCCCUACAUACAGCAGAGAAAGCCCUGCUCAGCUAGAGCCCAAGGACAAUCUCCAAAGAUAAGUGUGGAGAGACUUAAUUACCAUUUAAAGUUGUCCUGGACUGACCUUUCUGUGCAGUAAACUUUGCUUCUGAACCUUAUCUUGUGUUAGUACUUAUAGGCUCCAUUCUCCCCUCCAAGCCUAUGAGGAUACUCAGCUACAAACAUGGCCUUUGAGGUGUAGAAGGAGGGGGGUGGGAAGGACCUGUGGAUCCCCAGUCUCCCCUGGGAUCCCCCUUCAGGAUGCUGCUUGGCUUGGGACAAGUCUGAGCAUGGAGGUUACAUGCAGAGCAUUAAUGCCAAUGUGUGGGGAGAAGGAUUCUUUCUCUGCCGGAACAUCUGGAGUGACACUGAGGACAUACUUAUACACAUUUACACGAGCCCCGGGGGAUUCCCAUGCCUGAGAGAACUGGCUAGAUAGUUCCUAUUACACAUUUAUUUCCUUAAAGGAAGUAUUUUAUAUUCUACCCUGUAAUUCAAUUCCUUUGGCUCUCCACCAUGCUAAAAAGCAAAAGAACAUAUAGUCCAAACAAUUUUUAAAAUCAAGUUUUUUUCCCUCCAGAUAGUAAAUGUUCACAAUUCGUGCAGCUUUUACACACAUCUGUAAGCUAUGACUUGUUUAUACCAGCUCUUACAAUAUUUUAAAAAUAAAGUAUAAUGUUUUUCA